UAUUUUGUCAUGGCAGCCCUAGCAAACUGCUAUAGUGACUUGUGGGGAUUAGGAUGACACCAAGCAUCAAAUGCCACUCCCUGUUCCAACAGUGAGACCAUUCCAUAGCCCCUGAGUGACAAGACAGGCCUUCAAACUCAAGACUACCUGGCUAG
rnacentral:lncRNA from 1 species